GCCAGACUCCUACGGGAGGCAGCAGUGGGGGAUAUUGCACAAUGGGGGAAACCCUGAUGCAGCGACGCCGCGUGUGGGAAGACGGUCCUCUGGAUUGUAAACCACUGUCCCCAGGGACGAAGAUGACGGUACCUGGGGAGGAAGCCCCGGCUAACUACGUGCCAGCAGCCGCGGUAAUACGUAGGGGGCAAGCGUUAUCCGGAUUUACUGGGUGUAAAGGGGGCGCAGACGGCAGCGCAAGCCAGGAGUGAAAGCCCGGGGCCCAACCCCGGGACUGCUCUUGGAACUGCGUGGCUGGAGUGCAGGAGGGGCAGGCGGAAUUCCUGGUGUAGCGGUGAAAUGCGUAGAUAUCAGGAGGAACACCGGUGGCGAAGGCGGCCUGCUGGACUGCAACUGACGUUGAGGCCCGAAAGCGUGGGGAGCAAACAGGAUUAGAUACCCGCGUAC
rnacentral:rRNA from 1 species